CCCUUCGGGGUUAGUGGCGGACGGGUGAGUAACACGUGGGAACGUGCCUUUUGGUUCGGAAUAGCUCCUGGAAACGGGUGGUAAUGCCGAAUGUGCCCUUCGGGGGAAAGAUUUAUCGCCAUUAGAGCGGCCCGCGUCUGAUUAGCUAGUUGGUGAGGUAAAGGCUCACCAAGGCUACGAUCAGUAGCUGGUCUGAGAGGAUGACCAGCCACAUUGGGACUGAGACACGGCCCAAACUCCUACGGGAGGCAGCAGUGGGGAAUCUUGCGCAAUGGGCGAAAGCCUGACGCAGCCAUGCCGCGUGAAUGAUGAAGGUCUUAGGAUUGUAAAAUUCUUUCACCGGGGACGAUAAUGACGGUACCCGGAGAAGAAGCCCCGGCUAACUUCGUGCCAGCAGCCGCGGUAAUACGAAGGGGGCUAGCGUUGCUCGGAAUUACUGGGCGUAAAGGGAGCGUAGGCGGACAUUUAAGUCAGGGGUGAAAUCCCAGAGCUCAACUCUGGAACUGCCUUUGAUACUGGAUGUCUUGAGUGUGAGAGAGGUAUGUGGAACUCCGAGUGUAGAGGUGAAAUUCGUAGAUAUUCGGAAGAACACCAGUGGCGAAGGCGACAUACUGGCUCAUUACUGACGCUGAGGCUCGAAAGCGUGGGGAGCAAACAGGAUUAGAUACCCUGGUAGUCCACGCCGU
rnacentral:rRNA from 1 species